rnacentral:sRNA from 1 species
UUUGUUAUCUGCUUCAGGCAGAUGAGAACUGAAAGUUCGAGCCGAGCGCAGCGAGACAACAUCGGAGCUUACGACGAUGGCUCGCAGGGGGAUAAUCUGCCUGGUCCUACCA